ACCUCAAUUAUCUCUUUAGACUUUCUCGUGGGACCAAUUUUUAUUGGAUAAGAAUUUUAGUGAAAUUUGAUUAAAGCCGAAUCCUCUAGAUAAAGGAAAAACAAGGGAUAAAAAGAGUAAUUCGAUAAAUACUAUUAUUACAUAAAAUAAAAUAUCAUCAUCACAUUAUUACAUAUUCAACCGAACAACUUUAAUCUUUUUCUUUUUCCUUUUCAGUUUUUAACCUACUUUCUCAUCGUAAUACAGGGCAAUUAGUAUAAGAAGCAGAAAAGCAGCAUCAAUGGCGAUGAGAUUGAGCAUGUCGUUGCGAGUGGUGGCAUUCGUGUGGGCAACUUUAUGCAGCUUUCUUUCUGUGAUGUUUACAUAUGCUCAAGAUGUUGCUAAUUCUUAGGUACCUAUAACUAUUUUCUGUGCCCGGAAUUAAUUAUCAUAUUGAUUAUGAUCCGCGGUGUUGUAAUUGUAUAUAACAAAGUGAGUUUAUUCGGAAAUAGGAAUUUUUUGAAAGAUAUUUUCUUAUGGUAGUUUUUUUUUUUUUUUUUUUUUUUUGGAAUAAGGAGAACAACCCUACAAGAUUGGGGCUUUAUGUAAGAAGUAAUAAAUUUGAUUGGGAUGUAAAUCCUUUUAUUGAAUGAUUGGAAUUAUUGAGACUAUUUUGAUA